CCUACGGGAGGCAGCAGUGGGGAAUAUUGGGCAAUGGGCGCAAGCCUGACCCAGCAACGCCGCGUGAAGGAUGAAGGCUUUCGGGUUGUAAACUUCUUUUGUCAGGGAAGAGUAGAAGACGGUACCUGACGAAUAAGCUACGUCUAACUACGUGCCAGCAGCCGCGGUAAUACGUAGGUGGCAAGCGUUGUCCGGAUUUACUGGGUGUAAAGGGCGUGUAGUCGGGUUGACAAGUCAGAUGUGAAAUCCUGCGGCUUAACCGCGGAACUGCAUUUGAAACUGUUGAUCUUGAGUGCUGGAGGGGCAGACGGAAUUCCUGGUGUAGCGGUGAAAUGCGUAGAUAUUAGGAGGAACACCAGUGGCGAAGGCGAUCUGCUGGACAGCAACUGACGGUGAGGCGCGAAAGCGUGGGGAGCAAACAGGAUUAGAUACCCGGGUAGUC
rnacentral:rRNA from 1 species